rnacentral:rRNA from 1 species
UACGUAGGGUGCAAGCGUUAAUCGGAAUUACUGGGCGUAAAGCGUGCGCAGGCGGUUUUGUAAGUCUGUCGUGAAAUCCCCGGGCUUAACCUGGGAAUUGCGAUGGAGACUGCAAGGCUAGAAUCUGGCAGAGGGGGGGUAGAAUUCCACGUGUAGCAGUGAAAUGCGUAGAGAUGUGGAGGAACACCGAUGGCGAAGGCAGCCCCCUGGGUCAAGAUUGACGCUCAUGCACGAAAGCGUGGGGGAGCAAACAGG